rnacentral:tRNA from 1 species
GCGGAUGUGGCUCAGUGGUAGAGCCCUUGCCUAGAAUGUGUGAGGUACUAGGUUCGAUCCUUAGCACCACA